ACCGACCGUAGCAAUACGGAGCUAGCACAGGUGCUGCAUGGCUGUUGUCAGCUCGUGCCGCGAGGUGUUGGGUUAAGUCCCGCAACGAGCGCAACCCUUAUCCUCUGUUACUCCGCAAGGAGGUCUCUGAGGAAACUGCCGGCGAUGAGCUGGAGGAAGGUGGGGAUGACGUCAAGUCAUCAUGGCCCUUAUGUCCAGGGCUACACACGUGCUACAAUGGCUUCUACAGAGGGUAGCAAGACUGCAAAGUGGAGCCAAUCCCUAAAGGAAGUCGUAGUUGGGAUCGGAGUCUGCAACUCGACUCCGUGAACCUGGAAUCGCUAGUAAUCGCGGAUCAGAACGCCGCGGUGAAUACGUUCCCGGGCCUUGUACACACCGCCCGUCACACCACGAAAGCCUGUUGUACCCGAAGCUGGUACGCUAACCCGCAAGGGAGGCAGCCAUCUAAGGUAUGGCCGGUAAUUGGGGUGAAGUCGUAACAAGGUAGCCGUAGGGGAACC
rnacentral:rRNA from 1 species